rnacentral:lncRNA from 1 species
GACCCUGAGAUCCUAGUGUGACCAAGCUCCUGUUAUCCGAGGAUCCUUAAGUCCUAGGAUCUUGGCCAUGUUACAGCACCUGGAAAGUGGUGUCUCCUCUGGGGACCAUGGGGCUCUCUGAUGUGUUUGAAACCAAGGUAUACCAGCACUGAUCAGAAGUAAUCUGAGCAUCUGGUCAGACAGGGCUCCUGUGUCCAUGCUCCUGCUGUCACAGGCCCGUUACAAUUGGUUUGGAACAGAUGUUGUGUUCCACUCACCAGUGAUCCUAAGAUCCUGGGUGUGCUAGGGUGCCUGCGGCAUGGAGAGCCCUCUGGGGACCGUGGGACCAUCUGCCAGGCAUACUUGUUAAUAUCUAUUUAGAGAACUAAUUUUCCAAGUCUAUCAGCUCCCAGUAAAAUCCACACCUAUAUGCCCAAUCCUGAAUCUGUUCUUUACUUCCUGGUCACUGCUCUAUCUGCCUCACUGGAGGUCUGCUGCCACCCAGGACUACCAGACUUGAACUGAAACGUCAGGCAGACAUGGGCACAACACAGCUAUUGGUGGCAUGUAAGAAGAAAGAAGGAGUCAUUGGAACCAGAUUCACUCAGUUCUAAGAUCUCAAGAAAUAUACUGAACCUACUGGUACUCAGAGAAAUCCUAAUUCAUAGACUGCCUUCUCAGGAGGACCCCCCCCAUACCAAAGGCAUUGUGUAUGGAGCCUUCCCAGAAAGAGCCCUAAGAUAUAAAAUCUCUGAAAAAAAAAUCCCAGAUCAAAUUGUAACAGGUCAUUUCUACCUGGCCAUGCUUUAGUAAGCAAAUGAUUACAUGGCUCUGGAGAAAGGUGCUACAGAAGGUCGACCUUUCUAGAACAGCCUACACUGGUACAGGUAAAAAAAUGAUACUCAGGAAGUGGGAUGGACAUAUCUACUUGGUAUCUUACAG